rfam:Triticum urartu cultivar G1812 contig765811, whole genome shotgun sequence.
CUUCUACUCCCUCCGUUCGGAAUUACUUGUCUCGGAUAUGAAUGUAUCUAGAACUAAAAUAUAUCUAGAUACAGUCAUCUCUGCGACAAGUAAUUCUAAACGGAGGGAGUAUAAA